rnacentral:rRNA from 1 species
UACGAAGGGGGCGAGCGUUGUUCGGAAUUACUGGGCGUAAAGGGCGCGUAGGCGGCCCCCUUUUGUCGCGUGUGAAAGCCCCGGGCUCAACCUGGGAGGUGCGCGCGAAACGGGGGGGCUUGAGUUCGGGAGAGGAGCGUGGAAUUCCCAGUGUAGAGGUGAAAUUCGUAGAUAUUGGGAAGAACACCGGGUGGCGAAGGCGGCGCUCUGGACCGAGACUGACGCUGAGGCGCGAAAGCGUGGGGAGCAAACAGG